GUUUUUGAACAGGUGUUUUUUUAUUAACGUUCUGUUUGUAUGGGUUACUUUAACUUUUAAAAUGCCAUUGUUCAUCUUUCAGGUCAGGAUUCGUGAGCCUAAAGGAUCUGAAAUCAGAAAGCACAAUCUGAGGAAGGUGCUUCUGCGAAAUUUAUAACUUGAAUUGUGUGCACCAAAUAUAUGAAUUGUUGGGCUUAGUUCAUCAUCGGGAAGUUUAUCAUUUUGCUGGUUUGCCC